GAUGUUGCGAGAAAGAUAUUUAUUGAAGCUGAAUACGCAAUUCAGUCAGAAUUGGAUUUUACAGUUAAGUGCAGUCCAUCAAGUUACUACAUAUUAUAGAUAUUUAUACAUAUCUGGUGGAGUUUCACAGUUGCUACUCUAAGCAGCAGAUGAAAGCAUACAAAAGCCUUCAGGCACAUAAAUAUUUUACAGCUGGAUUUGUUUUGAAUGGAGUAAAAAUUGUUAAUGAUUUCCUGAUUUCCAUAUUAUUGUUGGAAAGGUGAAGCAUUUCCAAAAAGCUAAUGCUAAACGACUAAAUGCUUGGGUGGGGUGAUAGCCAGUUCUGAUGACAUAGCAAAUGCACAUUGUAUGCGUAUGGCCGGUAAUAGUGAAGUCUGCAGCAAUCCUAUUUUUAGCUGAGUAUGCCCAGAGCAAGACAGACGAAGAAGAACCCAAUGCAUGUACAUAUGUUACAGCUACAUGGUUUGGAGAUAGCAACAUAUGCAUUCUCUGAUGAAAAACUAAUGAGUUUUGAAACUGUUCGGUCAGAGUGCUUGUUGCGCUCACUAAACGAACUGAAAUAUAAGAAGUCUUUGGCAUUGUGUUGCAGCGAUAUGAAAAUGGUUAUUCAUUUUUAAUUAUAAUGUACUUCUUCAUCAUGAGUAAUUAUGUAUUGGGCUUUUAAAUGUGUAUUUAUUUUUGUAAUUAAUAUCAACUUGUAAUGAUAAUAUACAUUUAUCGUUUAAGGUACGACUAUGUUUUGACUCUAAAAUAAAUGUUUUAAAAAUCGAA
rnacentral:lncRNA from 1 species